rnacentral:tmRNA from 1 species
GGGGGCGAAUUGGAUUCGACCGGGCGGUGGAUGCGUCGGUGGCGUGUCCAGGUUCCAAGGAGGCCUGGUAAAACACCUUGGGUAAAGUUUACUUGCCAAUCAUCAGAUGGCAAUGGCUGCCUAAAUAAGGCAACCCGUUCGCCCGGCCUUCGCCCGCGAGGUUGGGACGAACGAAAUCAGCGGGCUUACCGGUAAGGAGUGGGCCUGUUACCUUUCCGGGAAAUUCGGCAGGUCUGGCCUUGCUGCACCGCGUCGGCGCGGGUCAGCCGGGCGAGAUUAAACCGCCGACUACACACGUAGAAGCCGCCGUUGAAACGUCACGGGACGCGGGUUCGAUUCCCGCCGCCUCCA